GACGAACGCUGGCGGCGUGCCUAACACAUGCAAGUCGAACGGUGAAGCGCCUUCCUUUCUGGUGGGUGUGGAUGAGUGGCGAACGGGUGAGUAACACGUGAGUAACCUGCUCCCUCCUUCUGGAUAACCGCAUGAAAGUGUGGCUAAUACGGGAUAUUCUGGGCCUCUUGCAUGAUGGGUCUGGGACAGACAUUGUUUCGGUGGGGGAUGGGUUCGCGGCCCAUCAGCUUGUUGGUGGGGUGAUGGCCUACCAAGGCGGUGACGGGUAGCCGGCCUGAGAGGGUGGGCGGUCACAGAGGGGCGGCGACACGGACCAGACUCCUACGGGAGGCAGCAGGGGAGAAUAUGGCACAAUGGGCGGAAUGCUGAAGCAGCGACGCCGCGUGAGGGAUGGAGGCCGGCGGGUUGUAAACCUCUUUCGGCAGUGAAGCAGGCCUGCCGCGUUUGUGGGUAGGUUGACGGUAGCUGGAUAAGAAGCGCCGGCUAACUACGUG
rnacentral:rRNA from 1 species